rnacentral:rRNA from 1 species
UACGGAGGAUGCAAGCGUUAUCCGGAAUGAUUGGGCGUAAAGCGUCCGCAGGUGGCUGUGUAAGUCUGCUGUUAAAGAGUCUAGCUCAACUAGAUACAAGCAGUGGAAACUACACGGCUAGAGUACGUUCGGGGCAGAGGGAAUUCCUGGUGUAGCGGUGAAAUGCGUAGAGAUCAGGAAGAACACCGGUGGCGAAGGCGCUCUGCUAGGCCGUAACUGACACUGAGGGACGAAAGUGUGGGGAUCAAACAGG